rnacentral:rRNA from 1 species
CCUACGGGCGGCAGCAGUGGGGAAUAUUGCACAAUGGGGGAAACCCUGAUGCAGCGACGCCGCGUGAGUGAGGAAGGAUUUCGGUAUGUAAAGCUCUGUCAGUAGGGAAGAAAAUGACGGUACCUGCCUAAUAAGCCCCGGCUAAUUACGUGCCAGCAGCCGCGGUAAUACGUAGGGGGCAAGCGUUAUCCGGAUUUACUGGGGGUAAAGGGAGCGUAGACGGCUAAUCAAGUCAGAAGUGAAAGCCCAGGGCUCAACUUUGGGACUGCAUUUGAAACUGAGUAGCUAGAGUGCAGGAGAGGGAAGCGGAAUUCCUAGUGUAGCGGUGAAAUGCGUAGAGAUUAGGAGGAACACCAGUGGCGAAGGCGGCUUACUGGACUGUAACUGACGUUGAGGCUCGAAAGCGUGGGGAGCAAACAGGAUUAGAUACCCCAGUAGUC